GAUGGUGUUGCUGCUUGUGCUGAGUUUUACUCAGUCCUUGCUUAACCUGCUGUCCAUCCCUAGUUCAUGCUUGUCUCGCUCUGAUACAUCCACAGUGCUGUGAUUCAGUUUGGAGCUGAAGCCAAGUGUUCUUGGAGAAGGUCUAAAUCUAUUGGAGAAGAUGGAUCCUUGAGCUAGAAGCAUUAUAUAGAAGAGACACCUGUCCUCACUGUUACUGACAGAAAUUGAAGAGCUGCUCCCCAUGCUAAGCAGGUUUUAUUUUGCAUCUGUAGGUUUGACGGUGCUUUUAACCCACAACACUGUUCACCAGAUGAAAAGAAUGAUUGGGAAAUUAAAUGUUUAAUUGUUGUCUCAUUA